GAUUGUGAUUAACCAACAAAUAAAGCUUCACAAUAUUCUCAACCUAAAAGACUAGCUCGAGUACGUAUGUAGCACCAUCCCCUCAGUUAUCCAUGCCACAACACCGAAAUCCUCUUCUUUGGUCCUUCACUGACCCCACAGAGUGCAAUCAACAGCUCUCUCGGCCCUUUGUCGAGCACUAGAGCAGCAUUGAUCUGGGCGAGGAUGCAUGCCAGAGAGAAGGCAGAUGAGACACUCCCCUACUUUGAGCCAUCGCUACUAACAGAUCUGCAAAUGUAUGUAUAUAUCAAUAGUGCAAGAACCUCCUGGCGGAGUGGAAGUGAAGGAAGAAGCCUGGGUAUGUUGCUUGUUCCAAACAUCAGCAAGGCCGAUUGCAAACUGAUUCUCAGGAGAGCGGCGGACUAGAUUGCUGGUCUGCGGAACAAGGUGACCAAGCACUGCAGGAUGAUCUGCAGUAAUCCCACCUUCUGGCGAGCCUGCACUCUAGUGAUGAUGUGGUUUCAGUCCCCUCGAAAUGAUCAGAGAUAACCCCAGGAAUUUUCUUUAAUGAUUUUCGGUGAGUUUUAAAUUCAGUAUGGAUUUGACUUUCAAUUUUGAGACAAAUAAAUUGGUAUUCCUCGGAUCA